rnacentral:rRNA from 1 species
AUUGAACGCUAGCGGGAUGCCUUACACAUGCAAGUCGAACGAGUGGCGGACGGGUGAGUAAUUUCUCUGAACCUGCCUUGUGUCUGGGGAUAACUACUCGCAAGAGUGCCUCAUUCCGCAUACUAUUGGAUCGGCCGAUAUCGGAUUAGCUAGUUGGUGGGGUAAAGGCUCCCCAAGGCAACGAUCCCUAGCUGGUUUGAGAGGACGACCAGCCACACUGGGACUGAGACACGGUCCAGAAGCCUACGGGAGGCAGCAGUGGGGAAUUUUGGACAAUGGGGGAAAGCCUGAUGCAGCCAUCCCGCGUGUAUGAGAAGGCCUUCGGGUUGUAAAGUACUUUUGGCAGAGAAGCGGUAACUGCAGAAGAAGCACCGGCUAACUACGUGCCAGCAGCCGCGGUAAUUC